UACGAAGGGGGCUAGCGUUGCUCGGAAUCACUGGGCGUAAAGCGCACGUAGGCGGGUCUUUAAGUCAGGGGUGGAAUCCCGGAGCUCAACUCCGGAACUGCCUUUGAUACUGGGGAUCUUGAGUCCGGAAGAGGUGAGUGGAACUCCGAGUGUAGAGGUGAAAUUCGUAGAUAUUCGGAAGAACACCAGUGGCGAAGGCGGCUCACUGGUCCGGUACUGACGCUGAGGUGCGAAAGCGUGGGGAGCAAACAGG
rnacentral:rRNA from 1 species